rnacentral:rRNA from 1 species
GUGGGGAAUAUUGGACAAUGGGCGAAAGCCUGAUCCAGCCAUGCCGCGUGAGUGAUGAAGGCCUUAGGGUUGUAAAGCUCUUUUGUCCGGGAAGAUAAUGACUGUACCGGAAGAAUAAGCCCCGGCUAACUUCGUGCCAGCAGCCGCGGUAAUACGAAGGGGGCUAGCGUUGCUCGGAAUCACUGGGCGUAAAGGGCGCGUAGGCGGCCAGAUAAGUCAGGGGUGAAAGCCUGGAGCUCAACUCCAGAAUUGCCUUUGAUACUGUUUGGCUCGAGACCGGAAGAGGUUAGUGGAACUGCGAGUGUAGAGGUGAAAUUCGUAGAUAUUCGCAAGAACACCAGUGGCGAAGGCGGCUAACUGGUCCGGUUCUGACGCUGAGGCGCGAAAGCGUGGGGAGCAAACAGG